UACGAAGGGGGCUAGCGUUGCUCGGAAUCACUGGGCGUAAAGCGCACGUAGGCGGAUUGCUAAGUCAGGGGUGAAAUCCUGGAGCUCAACUCCAGAACUGCCUUUGAUACUGGCAACCUUGAGUCCGGGAGAGGUGAGUGGAACUGCGAGUGUAGAGGUGAAAUUCGUAGAUAUUCGCAAGAACACCAGUGGCGAAGGCGGCUUCCUGGCCUGUUCUUGACGCUGAGGCGCGAAAGCUAGGGGAGCAAACGGG
rnacentral:rRNA from 1 species